UACGGGGGGGGCAAGCGUUGUUCGGAAUUCCUGGGCGUAAAGGGCUCGUAGGCGGCCAACUAAGUCAGACGUGAAAUCCCCAGGCUCAACCUGGGAACUGCGUCUGAUACUGGAUGGCUUGAAUUCGGGAGAGGGAUGCAGAAUUCCAGGUGUAGCGGUGAAAUGCGUAGAUAUCUGGAGGAAUACCGGUGGCGAAGGCGGCAUCCUGGACCGACAUUGACGCUGAUGAGCGAAAGCUAGGGGAGCAAACGGG
rnacentral:rRNA from 1 species